GACGAACGCUGGCGGCGUGCUUAACACAUGCAAGUCGAACGGAAAGGCCCUGCUUGUGUGGGGUGCUCGAGUGGCGAACGGGAGUGUAACACGUGUGUCACCUGCCCUUGACUUUGGUAUAACUUCAGGAAACUGGGGAAAAUACCGGAUAGGAGCCCCUGCUGCAUGGUGGGGGUUGGAGAGUUUCGGCGGUGGGGGAUGGACUCGCGGCUUAUCAGCUUGUUGGUGGGGUAGUGGUUUACCAAGGCUUUGACGGGUAGCCGGCCUGAGAGGGUGACCGGCCACAUUGGGCUGGGGAUACGGCCCGGACUCCUACGGGAGGCAGCAGUGGGGAAUAUGGCACAAUGGUCGGAAGCCUGAGGCAGCAACGCCGCGUGCGGGAUAACGGCCUUCGGUUUGUAAACCGCUUUCGCCUGUGACGAAGCGUGAGUGACGGUAAUGGGUAAAGAAGCACCGGCUAACUACGUG
rnacentral:rRNA from 1 species